CGAGACUGGCGCUGCCGGGGACAAGAUUUCAGGAACCGCACAAGCCACAAAAGAAAAGACUUCUGAAACAGCUCAAGCUGCCAAAGAAAAGGCCGCAGGAGCAGCUCAGGCUACUAAGGAGAAGGCUGCUGAAAUGAGCGAGGCAGCUAAGGAGACGGCAGAAGCUGGAAAAGAGAAGACUGGAGGGAUCCUACAGCAGACUGGGGAACAAGUCAAGAGCAUGGCUCAAGGUGCUGCUGAUGCUGUGAAGCAUACUUUUGGCAUGACCGAAGAUACUGAUGAAAACAAGGAUAAAGACCAUCCCACCAAAAGGGACGACCAUUAGACUGUGAUACUAAAUAUCUAAGGUGGUGUUCUGUUGGUGUAGUAUCUGAACUUUUGUCGUGUGCGUUUUCAUAGUUGCCUCGAGUUUUCUGAGGCCCCUGUACUUG
rnacentral:lncRNA from 1 species